CUCGCAGGCACUGGGUGAAGCAAUUUGACAAAGCAGAACUGCGAGUGGGUGAGCUUUGUUCUGUUAUGCAAAAGGUUCAUUUUAAUACCACGGUGUGACAUGCCUGUGAACCCGCCGGUCGGGCUCUCCGGAAGGGCAGGACAACACGAGGCGGGGAGGUAAUGACACUCGGAACAGACAGCAGUUCAGAACGGCUGAGCAGGGAACUGAACGCCAGCAUCGUGAAGGGCAGUCAAGGGCUUUCUCUUGGGAACUCCAACUGAAAAUAGUAGGUAUGCCCGGCCUGGCUGGCUUGGCAGGGAGAACUAGGCACUGUGGCUAGGAGUAAGCAUUACCCGUGUGAGCAGCCGGGUGGGUCCCCCAGAUGACCUUGGUCUAUAGUUAGCACUCACAAUCAGCUGUGGCUGGUUUUCACAGCCCCAGUAAUAGCGACAGACAGACAGCCUUGGCAGCGGGCUUUGCUUUCUGUAAAGAGAAAGUGGUCAAGGCAAAACAGUGCCCAUGGGUAGCCCCACAGUUUGACUCAGGCCUUCUGUAACAAAAAAAAAAAAAAAAAAAAAUCAUGGAUCUGAUUUCUGGAAGGUCAUUGAAAAAUAAGUCACUUUUUCCUUGAACCUCUCAGGUAGCUUAGAAGAAAUUAAAAAAAAAAAAAAAGUAAAUUUCCUGGGGCACGUGUCAAAGAAAUGCCCGUUUGUAAGCCUUACUUCAUUAUUAUCAUUUACCUCUCUGCGUAUCACGAUAAAAUCAAAGUAGACUGAAAGGAUUCCAAGCAGAGAAGGAGGUUAAUUAGACAAACUAGAUAAAAAGCCAAUGGCCCUAUGAGGGUCUGAAGAUGGGAUCAAGCUUCUGCUGGGUUUGGUUCCUCAGAUGAAAAAUCCCUGCCAUCACAUAAUGGCCCAGUCAGCACAUCCAGUGUAACAGGCAACACGUGCGCCCGCCUAGCGUGUCCUAGGCUCAGGACUGCCGCCAAUACCAACGACAACCCCAAAUCAAGGCCAAGGGUGGGGAAUCUCGGGAUGGAUUUACGCCAAGGUGAGAUGUGACGUCUGAGGUCACAUGACAGAUUUCAACAAGCAGCAACCUGGGCGUGGGAAGGUUCUCAAUCCUCCACACGAAAACGCAUUUUCAGCACGUACGGAAGCCGACAUCUUCCUUCUAAACCAACCUACUGAGCCGAAGAGCAAGGUCGGAACUACAAAGAAGUUUUGAUGUGUGCUUAAGCUAUUAAAAAAAAAAAACACACAAAAAACAAAACAACUGACAGGAAGAAAGAAUAAAGUUUCAGAUGUUUUUAUUCAAAGGUUCUCAAAAGAAAUAAAACAGAAAAAGCUAACAAUCUGGUCAAAUGUACAGUUCAAAAAUGUCUUUUGGCGUUUAACAAGUCCUAGGAAAGAAAACUACAGAGUCAUCUUGAACCGGUAAGUAAGUCACCAUGGCAAGUAUGCAGCACUAGAACAAAAAUAAAAAAUUAACUCUCUUGAUCAUAUAGAUAUCUCUAUGAAAAUCUUUUUUUUUUCAAUCUGUACAAAAGGUCUUUCUUCAUAAAUUAAUUUUUUUUAUAAUUUAAUGGCUGUCUACUAUGUGAUGUUUAACUGACUUUUUUUCUCUCUUUUAUAUGUACAGAGGUUGUUUCCCGAAUCUGACCCAGACGAAUAUGGCACUUAGCUCAGACAUACCUAGCAGCAGACGUCCCCUCCCCUACUGACUGAGCUAUCAACUUUCUGUCUUAACUAAUGGAAAAAAUAUCAAGUAGUGAGAGGCCCGGGCUGAUAAACUAGGUACGUGGAGGGUGCUGCGUUCAGUCUGGACUUCCACAAAGCAGAAUGUUUUAGGGAGCAUAGAACCAAUAAUACCACAACUUCUUUUUUAAAAAAAAAAGAAAAAAGAAAAAAAAGAAAGAAACAA